GGGGGCGACACGGCUUCGACGGGUUUGGUGAAUUCGGGGCUGCGUGCCGAGGUCCGGGGGCCUCGAUAAACAUCCCGGAAAACGUUCAAAUGCCAACAACGAUCUGGCUCUGGCAGCUUAAGACAUAAGCUGCCCGUUCCCCUGCAAGCCCGCCCGAGGCGAGCCGUGGGAACGUCGACAAUUCGGGCUGGUGCUCACAUCCACGCCACUGGACGAGAGCACGAGACACAAGGUGGCUAGCCCGGCAAGGGUCGUUCGCCGACCCGGCCGGUAGCGAAUCGAACGGCGAUCUACGCACGUAGAGGCCUGGAAGAAUCCAUUCGCGGACGCGGGUUCGACUCCCGCCGCCUCCAUUU
rnacentral:tmRNA from 1 species